AUGCCUGCUACCAAUUCUGGUUCCGAUUCAGCUGCUGCUUCUCGUGUACCUUCUGCAGUUGGUGUAGAAGAAGAUGCAGAACCUGACGAGGCAGUGCCUACAAAUGAUGAUGAAGACGAGAUGAUGUUUCCUGAACUGGUCGAUGUAGCCAGUCAGCAAGCAAUGGAUGACGAAUAUAUGGAGGAGCCCAUCAGCCAAGCUAGGUUUGAUGACACUGACGAUGAAGAGAAGGUGGAGAACAUGGACAACUUAAUCGAGGAUGAAUACGAUGGUGAUGACAUGCCAACAAUUGAGUGGAACAGGGAAAAACCUGAGCUUACUGUAGGUACCAUUUUCCUAUCAAUGGUGGACUGUCGGAAUGCAAUGACAACAUGGUGCAUUAUAUCUGAAAACACCUAUAAGAUUAAAAGGAGUGAGCCAGCAAGGUUCAUAGUUUUUUGUCCAUAUCCUAGGUGUAGGUGGAAGUUGCAUGCAUCUCGUACGAGAAAGAGCAAAUAUAUUCAGAUAAAGAAAAACGCACACAAGCACACCUGUCCACCUGGAGGGGGAGGGGGGAAGGCCAAAACCAAGCUAGCAAAAACUAGGUGGGUGGCAGAUGCUAUAUUGGAUUAG
rnacentral:rRNA from 1 species